GGAAAUCGCAGCCAUACGGGCUGCGCUCCCCCAGCUGAACUGUAUCUGCAUUUCAACGGUGGGAGAAAAGACGCUCUACGGCGAGGUGCUCCUCCCUCCGCCCUGCCAACCUCAUCUGUCAGCCAUUAGUUAAUCAGGGCUGGUAACACAGAGCACAGAGAGCUGGCACAGCUCGUGGGACCAGAGGACAGCUUCACCUCUGAGAGCAAGAAGAGGGCAAGGACUCAGGGACCUCUGCUUCACCGAUCUACAGCUGGGCUGCUUCACUCACCAGCACCCACUCAGGACUGGCAGGCGUCAACCUCGACAUGACCCCACCCACUGCUUCACUGUGAACAGGGAGGUUUCAAAGACAGAAGUCAAAACAACAUAUGUUGUCAACAUGGGAACAGCUGGUAAGAGCGGCGUCAUGGGGCAGAGGAAUGUCAAGAGUCAUAGAUCUUUUAUCCAUCAGGCCAAAAUAGCUACCCGGACUUGUUUGAAACCACGCACGGGAGCAGUGUGAAAUUUAUACAUCCAACUCACCUCACACUAACCUUUACUAACUUUAUCCAUGACCAAUCUUACAACAUGCUUUGAACUAUAGAAACCAGAUGAUGAAUUUAAAAAAGUACAUGCAAAUAUAUCCACGAGCAAAAUACAGAUAUACUUUGCUGACAGAACAGUCCAGUGCAGUGAUGGAUUUCAGCUGUGACAAGUUGAUUUUGCCGUAUUAUUCAUCGCAGGAUGGGACUGAUUGUGUGAUGUGGAAAUAAUUUCCUGCCUCUGUCAAUGCAGUUCCUGACAGACACUCAGCUGCAGGAGCUGCAGCAUACUUCUGAUUGGCGAAAACUAAACAGUAUAUUCUGCGCUCCAUGCCAAGUAUGACUUUGCCAUCUUUUAAGAGUUAAAUAAACAACCGGUUGAGUUGGCAUAUACAGUUUCUCCAACACAGUUUCCUUUUUAAGUCAACACCACUCAGAAAAGAUACACCAAGAAACCAUAAGUCAAAACCAAAUGACAAAACAGACGUGUUUUUCCGUCUGUCUAAACAUUCCACUGAGAGCUUUUUCCAUUACCGUGUUAUACUGAAACAUGCAGCCCUGCUCGAAUCAGUGUUCUGCUGCAGAUGGGAACGAGGGAUAACUUUAGAAAAGUUACUAUAAAGACAGAACUUGAAAUAUACAACAGACCAGCCGUAAGGUUAUAAAAUAGCGACCUUUGGCACAGAACGUUCAAGUCUGAGUCCCUCUUCCUGCUAAAUGUUGCACAGCUGCUUUUCUAAUCUGUCAUAGCAGCCAGCUUGCCACAGCUUGCAUACAGGGAAGUCUGGAAAAACUCCAAACGGGAUGAUCCUGACCUUGCAUUACAAGGACAAGAAAGAUAAAAUAUAGAGCAAGUGACACAAGAGAAGGAGAAUACAAUUUUUUACAUUGUGUUUUCAUAGUUUAAAAAAAAAAAAGGAAAUGGAGGGAAAUCAACACCUGGUAUGUGUGUCUUAUUACCACAUAUCCAAUAUCCAAUUUAUGGCAGCAUUAUAGAGGCAACAGGGAGCUUUUGGUACUUAAAUCCAAAUAGCAGUGUUUACCAGAAUUGCUGUUGCUUUUUAUACGUUACCACCCAAACCCCUUUGUCCACUGUGCCUCUUUGAAGUAGUGCUAAACCUGUGCCUGAUCUCAGCCAAGUCCAUGGGUCCUUGAUGUCAGACAAAGGCCUCCAUCAGAGGAAAAAUCCACCCGAAAAUAAACAAAUAAAUAAAUAAAAAUAGUUAUUCCUGACAUAUCCUGCCAACCCAGUCACUAGAAAAAAUGCUGGCAUAUACGUUUCUGCAAACUACAGAUACAUUUUGCACGUUGUCAUGUAGCAGAUACGUUGAAACUUUACAUUUCAACAACACUGUGGUUCACAUGUGGUUAGGGUUAGGCACAAAAACUCUUGGUUAUGGGUGGCACAAUGGGGGGCACAAUCUCGGCAGGAAACCAAGCAAGGGAUCGCUACAAAACAUCCACGCUUGGUGCCUAAAAAUCUGCUGGAAACAGCAACAACUGGCUAAAUCACAGCUGGUUUUGUUGUUUUUUGGUCUUGAACAGUGGUCUGCAGCUUGGCAGCCAUCUUGCUUAGGUGUAGCACCAUCCACCAUGUUCCCCUGAUGAUAAAAUCAACAUGUAGAUUACAUCUCUUCAUACGUACAAAUGUAAAGUAUUUGUGGUUUGCAGAAAUGUAAAAUGCCAAAACUGUCUUCUGGCGACUGGGCUGACGCUGCCUGGUCAAUACACGUCAAGCUCAGCUACAGAGGAUCUUCAUCUGUCUACAACAUCAAAAACAAACAUCAGGUUUUGGCUUCAGCCUGUCAGACUAAACAAGGAGGGCCUUCUGUAGACUCAACGGUUUCCAACGAUGGUAAACUCUCAAAACAAGAGUUGGUAAGUAACAAAAGAUAGAGGCAUUGGUAAUGUUCAUUGUUGGGGUUGAUAUUAAGCUAUACAAAGAAUAAGAGAAUAAAAAACACACACCUCAUGGAAUUAUAGCACUUUGAACAUUAAACUAUUUUUGUUAUCAUUGGUUUUUGUUUGCAUGUCACUUAUUUGCACUAUUUUUCAGUGUCUCAUAAACAAAACAAUUAACCAAAAAUAAUUGGCCGAUUAAUUCACAAUGACUAAAUCCUUCAGUGCAGCCUUAGAAAUAAUCUGUGCACAAAUACUCAAGGGUGGAUUUUUCCUUUGCAUGUUGGUGUCUUUUACUAUUAAGCGGAAAUUACUUUGAUGAAUGGUGCAUCAGGCACUGACUGACAUACUGGAAUUUCCUCACAUCUGUGGACCAGUGGCCUUGCUAACAUAGAACCAUUAGAAACAGACCCGACAGGUAGCUAACUCACAAGGAAAGCGCAGCACACACAAACUUAAAUAGUACGAUACAAGUACAGCUAAGUCUCUGACCCUCUACAGUGCAGCUAAACAUCACACAGUCUUGUAUGUUGGAGCUGAAAUGGAGGGCUAUUAGCUCCUUGUUACCUAAAGUGGGCUUGAACACCUAAUCUAUCACUGCCUCUCCCUUAAGAGGGCGGAAAAAGCUCAAACUCCAUUUCACUCCAUCAACUUGAUACCAUCGACAGGCCCAAACAGGACCAGGCCCCAGCAAGUCUGACGCGGUAGCCUCAUGUGAGAAGAAUACACAUUUAAGUGGAGUCUUAGAAGCGACUCCUAGAGGCUUAAAAACACUUUAUAAUACCUGACCGACGAGUUGAGGAAAAGCAGGCGCUCUACCUGUGUCAAAGUGAGGCCAUGUUCCCUAUUAUUCGAUGAGCCUGGGCUACACCGACCUAAAUGCUUCCAGACUUUCACGCCCUGUCUCCUCUCAUUCCAUCUCACUGCAUCUGCUCCUAACUCAGAUCACCCACAAAAUAACAUCUACCCUCACUAGAUGGGCUGCUCUCUUAAUUUCUUCCAAUGCCCUGCACAAAUGCACUGUGGUUCCGAGUCAACUCUGAUUCCUUCAGAUACGGUUUUGCUCCUACAGGCAUUAAUAUCACUGUUUAACUGCUCUCUAAGCUACAAUAAAUAGUGAGGAUGUUUAUGCAGGUGCUGGCAAACAAAAUCUAUGUUACGGUGGGUAAUAUGUUAACUUUAUGUUAUCCGACUGCUUGACCUACACAAGCCUUCCAUUCCUAAUGCGAAAGCCAUGCUGUGAUCCAAAUAUUUUGAAUCUUCAGAUAACAUCUCGCAGCAUCUGGUUUUCUGCCUCCCAAGUCUUAGUGGUUUGCCAGAAUCUGCAGGCCAUAGUGCUUGACUUUUAACCAGCAAAUCAUCAACUGAACUAUUUUGCUUUCUCUCAAAAGGCCGAAUUGAAACAUUAUCUCCCGACUCAGAUUUAAAUUAAAGCCAUGACAAGAAGAAGGGGGGACCUUCCAGCCACCGCCUCGAUCGCUCACACUCGACUGGCAUAUGGGCAGCAUCAGGAAACACAAGCCCCAAUGAUGUUGCGACCGUCUGACCCCGGGGUGACAGGUUUGGAGGGUGUUCUUGCCCACUGCCCCCCAGGCCAAAGUCAAGUAUGUCAACGUUGUGCAUGUGGGUUUCAUUUGAAGCAGCAUGAUUAGUUCACAGACGCUCAACUGCGACCCCCCCUUCCUCCUCCAUGGGAAACCCACUCUCGACAGGAAACGGUAUGUUUUUGUUAGCAACAAACAGGCAUAAAUUACAAAAAUGGAGCCUCGGUUGCCAAUUCAUCACACACAGCCUUAUUGUUACUGCUCGCACACGUUUGACAUCGACAUUGUUUUUAAGGUAAUUACUAUUAGUUAAUGAUAUUUGCAUUCCUGAUCGUUUAUGUUGAACUGUGUCUGCAAUCAUGAAUUUGUGCAAUAAAUGUGAUAAUUGCUUCGUGUCUUUUCUUCUUUAUAUAUGACAAAUGUGUUUUGAUGAUUUGGAAAAUGAACGCAGCUUUGACGACGAUCAGUCAAGAAUAUAAAUGAUCAAACAUCCAGGGAGAAAAAUGGAGGCAGAUUACUUUGGGGAAACAAACUAAAGCAAAGAUCUAAUUACAUUUAAAUUGUACUGCUGUUCUGUUAGUGAAUGCCAACAUAUAAAAUUACUCUUGUUGGUCAAAUGUUUAUGAAGGAGUAAUGCACAUUUGUGAAUAUUGUCAAGAUGGUAGCAUACCAUCAUUAAUAAAGCCAUUACCUCUUAACAAAGUUUAUUUCCAGGAUUUUAGCCUACGUCUGGAACACGAGAGGAAAUUAAACGACUUGUCAAAAAUGUCUUACAAGUAAUGAUAUCUGUAGCGUAAUAAAUACAUGAACUCAUUUCCCAAGAGGUGAUUAAGCAGUAUGAAUAAUGAGGAUUCUUUCUCGUGUUUUCAUGUGUAAGAUACAUUUAAGAAUACAUGUAUAUAUUGACGAGCUGCUGCUGCAAACUGAUGUGACUGAUACUGCCGGUGCAAGUUUUUUUAUUUAGCAUAGGCCUGCUACGGACAGAAGAGGCCACUGCACAAGGUAAGACGCACUCAGAAGCCAUGGGAGAUAUUUUGACAAUGUUACAUAAUACAAGAACCCCUGGACUACUUUAUCCUCCUCUGGCCUCUGGAAGAGCAUCCCCCACACGUUUGCCAUUUCACUAAGACAACGUUUAAUUUUUGGUUCCAUAAAAAGAUUAAAAUGUUUAAAAGAUUGUAUGAAUGCUUGCUGUAAUAUCUGAUAGAGGGGUUGGUGUAUAAAGGUAAUUUGAUAGCCAAUGUUUGCCUCUAAUUUAAGUCAUUUAGUUUAAUUACGUGUAUGCUUCACUACAUAGAGCUAUGUUAAAACUCUGCUGGUUAAUUAAAGGUUUGCAUUUGUAUAUUCUUGUAAUAUGAUCUGUAUUGAGUGGUUUGAAGGCUAUGGUAAAGUAUUUACUUGAGUUCCUACAGUAUUUUAAUAUACAACCUGAUAUAUUCUCACACAGGUGCUUUACAAAGCUAUGUUAAUGUGUGUUUUCCUUCAACGAGUGACCUCAGGACAAUAUCAAAUACAUAAUUCAAUAAGCAGCUUUCUGUAAAUACUAGCUUUCCAGGGGCUUUCUCUUGGAUCUCCUCAGCUAAACAACCCUUGCCAGCAUGCAUUAAUACCAAUUAUUGUUGUAGUAAAAGUAAUACUUUGUCGGUCUCCUGCCAAAUGCGUUACAGAGAGCUCCAUUAAUGCAAUGGUAAACAGAUGUGCCACCCAGCGCCAAAGUUUGAUUUGAACCGUAUAUGUUUUCUCCAGGGAGAUUACAAAAUAAAAUGUGAAAACGCAUAAAAGGAAAAGGCCUGCAGGGUUUUUACACAACGUUAUGCAGAGGUAUGUAAAGUGCUCCAGAUACUAUAGACGCAGAUUUUAAGUAUGCCCCCCAAAGACUGAAUUAUUAUAAGGAUUACUGAAAAAGGCUGCUAUGAAGUCAAUUGAGGGUCAAAUACCAAAAUACCACAUAAUGACCUACAAGUCAAGUUCUUGCUAUGAGCUGUUUACAGUACCUCACCUACACACUAUACACUGCAUAAACUGUACCAUGCAUGCACCGCAGCAUAUCACUGUACUAUGAAACUACUGUGUAUAAAAGAACUGCU